AUGAACGCUGGCGGCAGGCCUAACACAUGCAAGUCGAGCGGUAGCACAGAGAGCUUGCUCUCGGGUGACGAGCGGCGGACGGGUGAGUAAUGUCUGGGAAACUGCCUGAUGGAGGGGGAUAACUACUGGAAACGGUAGCUAAUACCGCAUAACGUCGCAAGACCAAAGUGGGGGACCUUCGGGCCUCAUGCCAUCAGAUGUGCCCAGAUGGGAUUAGCUAGUAGGUGGGGUAAGGCUCACCUAGGCGACGAUCCCUAGCUGGUCUGAGAGGAUGACCAGCCACACUGGAACUGAGACACGGUCCAGACUCCUACGGGAGGCAGCAGUGGGGAAUAUUGCACAAUGGGCGCAAGCCUGAUGCAGCCAUGCCGCGUGUUGAAGAAGGCCUUCGGGUUGUAAAGCACUUUCAGCGGGGAGGAAGGCGAUAAGGUUAAUAACCUUUCGAUUGACGUUACCCGCAGAAGAAGCACCGGCUAACUCCGUGCCAGCAGCCGCGGUAAUACGGAGGGUGCAAGCGUUAAUCGGAAUUACUGGGCGUAAAGCGCACGCAGGCGGUCUGUCAAGUCGGAUGUGAAAUCCCCGGGCUCAACCUGGGAACUGCAUUCGAAACUGGCAGGCUAGAGUCUUGUAGAGGGGGGUAGAAUUCCAGGUGUAGCGGUGAAAUGCGUAGAGAUCUGGAGGAAUACCGGUGGCGAAGGCGGCCCCCUGGACAAAGACUGACGCU
rnacentral:rRNA from 1 species